rnacentral:lncRNA from 1 species
UGGCUUGCAUCUCUCCUCCUCAUGUGCAUUGGUUUGCAUCCAAUCCUUGCAGUCCAAUCCAUGGAAGUCCCUCCCUCCCUGCAUCUCUAGAACACGACACUUAAAUUUCAUCAACUUCCAUUGCUACUGAUAAAAGAGGAGCAAGAUGUAUAUGCUGCAUAAAUCAUACAUGGAGAAGCAAGUUGCUUGAAAACAGAGGAGGUCCAUGAUGGUUGUUCUCAUUCGCAACAGAAAAACUCAGAAAAAUGCACAAGUGCAUGCUAUCUAUGGAUACACCAACUCUAUCAGUACCUGGCACCCAAACUAAGAAAAAAAUUCAUUCAUAUGCAGCAACCUAAACUCAACUUUGAGAGAGCGGACUGAUUAACAUUUUUUUGUUGGGUCGAAUUUUUCACAAAUAUAGAUAGUGUAACGCCCGUGAAAUUAAAUUAUGCAAAGUAGUAUAGUAGUAAUAUUUUAAGCCAAUUAUAGAGAUUAUCGGAUGGAUUGAUAGCUUGCACUAAUAAUAUAUAUGAUGGAUGCCACUGUUUAAGAAUUAGCAGUAGUUGCUUAGAACCCAAAUGCAUGUACACGUACUGGUCUAGGCAGACUUUUUUUUCUUUCCCUUAAUUUGUGAGAAGAGUUAGACCAGAUAUUUUGCUCAACAAGUAGCUGGCUGUAGGAAGGGUCGAGGAGGCAACUGAAAAUAAAAUGUUUAGUAAAUGGAAAUGAUUAUGCUGCUGACUCAGGUACAGGCCAGCAAGCUUAUCUAUUCCUGUUGUCAGACAUACGUGUCAAUUAGAGCAAUUUUACUUACUGUCUAUUCCUGCACGCCUAUAUAAAGGGCCAAGGGCCGGGUAGCUGGACCUCACACCACAACCAUUGUCUCUCUUCACUAGAGGUAGUAGUAGUAGAGCCGUAGCUGCUGGUGCAGAGCAGGCGUUAGAAAUCUUGCUGCUGUGUCAAGAGAAUCGGGAGAAGGCAAGCAUGCGUUCCAUCUAGCUUCUCCAGAUGUCCUGUUCCUUCUCUUUCUUUACUCAUGCCAUGCCGCUGUUGCUAGUACUUCUCUAUAUGGCUAGUCUGUAGCACUAUUCUUGUUGUUAAUUCUUUCACCUCAGCUAGUGUGUCCUUGUACAGUACGCAUGGUGGUUUGGUUCUGCAUGCUAGUUGUGAAAGAUGCAUGCGUCCUAUCUCCCAAGAACUCCUCUAGAUUAAUUUGUCUUUUCUCUCUUUCUAUCUUGUACCACAUGCCUUGUUCUAACUAAGUACGCCUCACUUUUACUUGUUGGACCUGUACACUCGUUAUGCUAAGAAUAGCACAUGCAAGACUAGCUAAUCUUGUGCAGAAGCUAGGGAUGAUAUAUUGGUGAUCUUUUGAGAUAAUAUUUCCUCUUCUAAUGUUCCAGUCCUAAUGAAAAAUCUAACACUAAGGCAUCACGAUGGCAAAAACAUUGUACCGGUCACAGUUUUUCCCUGCUACAUGUGUGCUUGCUGAGUAUGUUAUCAUACUCAUUCUUGCUAUCUUUUUUUUUUGCAGAGAUGAGCAAUGGAAAUGAUGGUGAACAGUAGAAGUAGUACUACGGGAGGGGAUGAAAUAAAGAAACUUGCAUGCAUGUACUAGCAAGAACACUUGUAGUCGUUCCUAUGAUAAUGAAUAAAAAUGAUUCCAGUGUACUACCUUGGUUAACCUGAUGGCCUAACAUGCUUAUAAAUUUGAAUUGAAUUUAUAAGCAUGUGGCAAUUGUCACUGCUAUGUUUUGGGGCGUGACAGAUAGAAGCACUCCAAAAGCUACAUAAUAAAUCAUAGAGGCUGGCCGAACUAAUUGGCGCACUCAAACGAUACAAGAGAGCGGCCCGAUGGACAACUAAGCAAGCAUACACAGCAAGUAAAACUACAUCACCAAUAUUAUGUAAUUAACUGGAAGCUCUUGUUCAUCAUACCAGUACAAAUAU